CCCCGCCCCCGGCCCCGCCCCCGGCCCCGCCCCCGCCGGGCCGCUCGGCGUGCGCGCCCCCGGGUGCCAGACGCUGCGUGCGCGCCCAGAACCGAACACUCACCCCCCCCCCCCCCCCCCCCGAGCGCCCAACUCCCCGCCUUCCCCAGCCUCAGUGUCUCCACCUGAGUGAUGGGGACAGUUCGUCCUGUGCGGCGUGGCCGCUUGAACUCACUGAGUUCACUGCUGUGAAUUAUCUGGCUCCCCUCCCCGCCACCUGCCGGUAAGGCUCCGUUAGUCGCUGCGUUUUACAGAGGAGGAAACUGAAGCAUGGAUCCUAAAGCCGCUCGACUAGAGCCUCCUGGAGUCCCAGAAGCAGCCUGCGGGCCAGGAGGUUGAGGGCGGGGGGACGAAAUAAAGCGAAAGCCCAGCACCACAGUGCGGCGGCGCCCAGAGGUCCUCUGCAGGCUCCUGUGUUGCAAAGAAAGAAGGGAUUAGAACUUCCAGGCCAGGAGCUUGCCUCAAUUACAGCCGUGUCCCUGCACCAUGUGCCUGGCAUACUGUAGGUGGCCCACUAAUGAUCAUCAGAGACCAGGAUUUCUCCAAAAACUGCCAGAGAGAGAAAGCUGAGUUUCUGGCCCCAUCAUCAGAAAACAGGGCUAGACCUUGGACUCGGGUCGCUGACAUCUCAUUCCAAGCAGCCUUGGCACCGGAUUAGCUUGGGUGCUGACUCAAAGGCCAUCUGCCUCUGGCCCCAGCCUCAGAAUACCCAGGGCAGAGCUCCUCGGACUGGCCUGGAGCCCUGAUUUGCAAGCUCAGACCAGAGGUCACAUACUCAGUGGCUAUUUUGGUCUCUGGCAGCUUCAGGUAGAAUUCAGAAAAUCUGAGAGCCGGCUUGCACCAGCUGUGCGAACAAGAGCCAAGCCAAGUGGGAGAAGGGAACAGAACAAAAAUCUCCCCACGAUCACGUUUCGUAACUCAAACAUUGUCAGAAGUGUCUGCACAUGUUGCUAGAAGCCAGGGUUGUGAAGGGAGGGAAGCCACAUCACUUGCCCUCAUCCCAAUGUACAAAAGGAAGGACACCUGUAUAACAUCCAGAGUCAGCGCUGAUGGGGAGAAACUGAGUCACACAGUACUGCUGAGAGCGAGUGGAAGAAAGGCCCAGCAACACCAGGGGAUAGAUGAAGAGGCAGGGAGAAAUGGAGGGCUCCUUAAAAAAAAAAAAAAAACCGGGGGGGGCAAGAUAAUUACAUUGGAAAGCCAAGCCCUAAAGCACUGCUGUGGAAAAGCUUGGCAGUUCCUCAAAAAGUUAAGCCUAGUGAUCAUAGGACCAGCAAUUCCACUCCUAGGUAUAAACUCAAAAUAAUUGACAAUAGGUGUUCAAACAAAUACUUGUGCGUGAUUGUUCAUGACAACGUUAUUCGAUUGCCCGAAGGUCUGU